UAAUACAGAGGGAGCAAGCGUUGUUCGGAAUUACUGGGCGUAAAGGGCUCGUAGGUGGCCAACUAAGUCACACGUGAAAUCCCUCGGCUUAACCGGGGAACUGCGUGUGAUACUGGAUGGCUUGAGUUUGGGAGAGGGAUGCGGAAUUCCAGGUGUAGCGGUGAAAUGCGUAGAUAUCUGGAGGAACACCGGUGGCGAAGGCGGCAUCCUGGACCAAUACUGACGCUGAGGAGCGAAAGCCAGGGGAGCAAACGGGA
rnacentral:rRNA from 1 species